UCGUGGUCGUCCGUUUUACCAUGGACAGUGAAUUCGCGAGCCCACGUUUCACCCUGGCCGUUAGAUGCGGUAUUUUCUUUUUCAACCUGACGCUACUCAUUCACGGUCCAUGACACUCGGGCCCGAAAGCGUGCGGGGCCGCCAGCAAGAGACAGAUACGACAGCACUUCUCGUCGCUUUCGUUCUCUUGGACGGGUGAAAACCUAGAUGGCGUCCCCCACCUCCUCUCCUCCUCCCCAAUCGCAGCUCUCCUCUCCUGCGCCGCCUCGUCCCUCGAGCGGUCGAGCUUGCGCCGUCUCGCACUCGCGGGCGCGUAUGCGGGGGAGAGGAGGAUGUGGCGGCGGUCCUUGGUGCGGGAUGUGCGCUCGACCUGGCGCAGGCGGCGCAGCAGAGACAUGGAGGAAGAGGAGCAGAUACGUCAGGCCGCUGUGAGGUCGGCAGCGACUGGUGCCCUGCGGUGGAGGGAGGCGGCGUCCAUCGCUCCGGUGCGCCGGCGUGGGGCGAGAUCGAGGAGGCGUCCGUCGUGGCGGGGCGAGCACGAGUUUGCGGCCGGAGAGGGCGUCUCCCCCAAGCCUGAUCUCCACCACUAGCGCCCUGGAAGGCGACGGCCUCUCUCCUCUGCUCCAGCCCGACGCGAGGCCGGAGAGGGCACUCCAAGGUGGAGGAAGCCAGCGGCGCGCCGCCUCUCCCCCGGAAUGGAGCCGGACAGGGAUGGCCGCGGUCGUGGCCGAAGGAGCUGCCGCAGGAGUGUGCACUUCUCAAGAUGGACCUGGACUCGGUCGAUCUGGCGCGGCAGUGAGCUUUUGCUCUUGGUGGUUGACCCUGGCGGUAGUGCUAGCCAAACUAGCUUCAGGUCCUUUCGUGUGCAGAGUCGAGGCUGUAGCAGUGACAAUGGUUCUCUCCACAGGUUCCAGAGCCUACGACUCUUUGCAUCAAUGUUUGGUCGUGUCAAGGUUGUGGAGCUGCUGUUCGAUCAAAUGUCUUACUGAGACUGCGUUUUCUUGCUGUCGGUUGUUGCCCAAGGCUGUGGAGCUCUGCGCCAUUUUGAGAUCGGGCCCCACAUGAGACAGCGGGGCGCGGUCUGCGUGAUGGUGCUGCCUCAUGAGAUCCAUGUACGACGGUACUUCUUCUGGUGCGGGGAUGUGCAGUGGCUCGGAGACAGAUGCUGCAGGCGGCGGACAGAGGAGGGAAGCGUCGGUUACGGUCGGCGAGGCUUGUUGCCCAGCAUUUUCUUCAGCUGGCAUGAACAAUUAAUAUUAAGGGGUGGCCACAACAUGGCGUAGCAAUCAGAAACUUAAGAUUUGAUGUUAAGUUGAAGCAUGUGGCGACCCUUCCCCUAUUGUAAUGCCUGCAGACGCGGGUGACGCCCAUGUUAUACGGGGCCAGAGUGCGUCACCGCCUUGACCAGAUUUCGUCAACCUCCCUGUCAGGUUCCUACUGGAGGUUCGACAUGCCAGUGCCGAGCAACACACCCGAGUUGAAGAAAGACCUUGAGAUUUUGCAGGAAAUGACAAAAGGUUCAGGAGCUUUCUGUCUUCAGGUUGCGAGAUAAUUAAGUGUCAGAGCAAUCAAAUUUUACACAUUCAACGUCACUCUUGUUGAUGAACACACGACAAUUGAGAUUUUAUCUCUAAAUUGAACGAAUACUACUCAAUCACUUCAGGACAAAAUGAGGGAGGAGCAGACUCACCGGCUCAGACGGCGGUUUCGGCGCUGGCAGACUCCUCCACGAAUUGGGCCACAUGUGGGAUGGCGGGGCGUGGUCUGCGUGACUCCAUGAGAUCCAUGGACAUCGGCUCUUCGUACGGCGUGGGGAUGCGCAAUGGCUCGGUGACAGAAAGCAUGUGUUGCAUGUGAAAGCAUGAGAAUUAUGGACAGUGAUUUUGACUUGCAUCCAGACAUCCAGGUAUCUUACUUAGUAUUUAAUUUGUUAUUUUAAUAUGCAGGUGCUAAUGCGGAUAUGCAUUUCAUUCCAAGUACUAUGGACAAUGAUUCUUUCUGUCCCGGCAAAACCUCAGAUUCACCCAAUGUUGGAUUGGAGUCUGCCUUAGGAUCAGUUUAUCCUAUGGGCCUAUACUACAGUGUUUAUCUGACGACGGGGAGCUACUGCUGCCGCAGCAAAAAGACGCGUCUUCCCUGAGUUGAAGCCGCCAGCCACCGCUCCUGCUUGCUGCUGCUGCCGAGAAAAAUCGCAGGCUUCUUCAGUUAAACAAGAUACUACUACUAUAUAAUGGAAAAGUUAUAUGGGGCAAGCCUAAAUCUUCACAGCACCUCCUUGUAGAUACUGCUACUCCAUUAUUUUCGGUGACAUGGGAAGGUAAAUAACUGAUGCAGAAAUUAUAGAACCCUAUGUGAAGAAAAUUAUGGAUGAGAAUCGUGGAUAGAAGUAUGGGUGUGGAGCCAUGGGGUGUUCAAAAGUUUUGCAUGCUCCUGAGUUUGUUCAAAAUCAUCUAAAACUCAAGCACCCUGACUUGGUCUCUGUGUUGACUUCUGGAUUUUUGUGGUGAUAUCACCUGAUCAUGUAUGCUGCUCAGUUGUGCGGUUGUGCCCCUUUAUCUUUGAAUUCAGCUUUGUUGAUUGCUAUUGCUUUCCUUUUUUCAGAAUAUUGAUAUAGUGAUAUUAUUUCCACAUUGGUAAGUUGACAUUGCAUCAAUAAUCGUGUUAUUCCACCAGAGAUUUUUUUGUGUUAGAAGGAAGGUCAAUAGCGAGGAAUGUUAGGUGAAAUGCAUUGUGGCUCUCGGGUGCUUCACACCCCCAUAUUUGGAAAAAUAAAAUAAAAAAGGUUAAAAAAUCAUUUUUUUUAAAUCAAAGAUGAUCAUGUAUUGUACUUGUAUAAAAAUAUUUCCCUAGGAAAUUACUUUCAUUGUAUCCUGGGUAAAAAAACUCGAA